rnacentral:tRNA from 1 species
GGCCCGGUAGCUCAGAUGCAUAGAGCGGCGCACUCCUAAGGCGAAGGUCGCAGGUUGGACUCCUGCCCGGGUCACCA